rnacentral:rRNA from 1 species
AACGAACGCUGGCGGCGCGUUUUAAGCAUGCAAGUCGAGCGGCAAGGGUAGCAAUACCCCUAGAGCGGCGGACGGGUGAGUAACACGUGGACAACCUACCCUUAGGUGAGGGAUAGCCCAGGGAAACCUGGAUUAAUACCUCAUAAGACCACUGAUAGGAGUAUGAGUGGGGAAAGGUGCUACGGCGCCGCCUGAGGAUGGAUCUGCGUCCCAUUAGCUAGAUGGCAGGGUAAAGGCCUACCAUGGCGACGAUGGGUAGCCGGCCUGAGAGGGUGAACGGCCACACUGGAACUGAGAGACGGUCCAGACUCCUACGGGAGGCAGCAGCUAAGAAUCUUCCGCAAUGGGCGCAAGCCUGACGGAGCGACGCCGCGUGAACGAUGAAGGCCGCAAGGUUGUAAAGUUCUUUUCGGGAAGGAGAAUAAGGGGAGCAGGCAAUGGCUUUCCGAUGCCGUGAAUCCCGGAAUAAGCCCCGGCUAACUACGUG